AAAAAAAUUGUCAAAUAAUUAACCUUCAAACUUUCUGUAGAAUCUUCGAUCAAAUUGCAGCUGAUUGAGCCAGAGAGCCUUUAAAUUUGCUUAGGACAAAUCCUGAAAAUUAAAUCCAUGCUACUAAAUAAUGGCGUAAUUUUGAUGCUCUAAUACGAGCACACGCAAAAUACUGAAAACGACCCUCAAUAGUAUGGACCUUAACCUUUCUAUCAUGGAGAAGAACAAUUAAACAGUGAUAGAGAAAUGUGACAUAAAUUAUAAGACAACAAUAAUCAUGUUGCUUUCGACCAAAAUGCUAGCUGAUGAUGCUAUAUCCCUCGGGUGUACGUCUCCGGUGUGGCCCCGGUGGACCAUCAGGUCCAACGAUCACAGCUCCAUUUAAUUGUCCCACCAGCUUUUCCGGCCAAAAUGUUAUCUACAAACGACACAUAUAAUGCAAAAGACAGAACAUGCAUGUGCAUGCAUGGUCCCCUUAUAACCCUAAAUUAUGUAAUCUUACUGGUGCAUGCCCGCCUGAGUUUUGCUUGCAAAUAUUUU
rnacentral:lncRNA from 1 species